AGAGUUUGAUCAUGGCUCAGAUUGAACGCUGGCGGUAUGCUUAACACAUGCAAGUCGAACGGAAACGAUACUAGCUUGCUAGUAGGCGUCGAGUGGCGGACGGGUGAGUAACGCGUAGGAAUCUACCUAAUAGUGGGGGAUAGCCCGGAGAAAUCCGGAUUAAUACCGCAUAAUCUCUAUGGAGUAAAGGGGCCCUCUUCUUGAAAGGUUUCGCUAUCAGACGAGCCUGCGUAAGAUUAGCUAGUUGGUGAGGUAAAAGCUCACCAAGGCGACGAUCUUUAGCUGGUCUGAGAGGAUGAUCAGCCACACUGGGACUGAGACACGGCCCAGACUCCUACGGGAGGCAGCAGUGGGGAAUAUUGGACAAUGGGGGCAACCCUGAUCCAGCAAUACCGCGCGUGUGAAGAAGGCCUGAGGGUUGUAAAGCACUUUCAAUUGUGAAGAAAAGUUAAUAGUUAAUAACUAUUAGCAUUGACGUAACUUUAGAAGAAGCA
rnacentral:rRNA from 1 species